CCUCUUCCCUUACAUUUAAUUUCAUUACUUUUUCCACUUACUACGCUGUUGUUACCAUAAAUAAUUUAUUGAUUAUAUAUAUAUCAAUAUGAGUACUAACACCACUCCCUUUUUCCUCUAUCUCCCUCCACAUUGCUACUUACUUACCUUUUUUUUUCUUUUUUUUUGGUGAUAUGCUUUUGUCACUAUUCAUCAGCCGCCUUCUUGUCUGGAUUAGCACUGCGCAUAAACGUGAUAUAGGAAAAAUGAAAUUUUUUAUGCGUCAAAGAAUAUUGCAAUAAUUACACUACAGCUAAGACUUUUGGAUCAUCGAGUCAAGGAGCUUUACUUUGGUGAUUAAGAAGGGAAAAUAGAAGCUCCACCAAACCAGGCCUUAUGAUUUAAAGACUUAACAGCUGCCAUUUCAGUGUGAUUUUAGAAAAUUUAAUCAAGGUACAUUUUUCCUGAACAUAUGGGUGUUAGGUCUCAAGCAUCAUGCAUAUUCAAUAACUGAUAUUUAAGUCAGGAAAUUAAUUAGAUAAUACUUGAAGUGAUCAUAUUAAUUGCAAUAUCCUUCAAUAUAUAUAUAUAUAUAUAUAUAUAUAACUGCAAAACGGAUAUUGUCUUACAUGCCACUCUCAAGAAGUUAUCAACAGAUGGAUAUAUUUCAUCAUAAGAAAAAGUUGAUGUAGAUAAGAAUUAUUUUUCAGUGCCUGGUUGAUUAGUUCAACAUCUUUUUAUAGUUCAACAUUGAAAGGUAACUUACAACAGCAUGCUUCCAAGUGUACUUGUUGUCAAUUAAUCUCAUAUCUAACGUUAGAAAGUAAUUUUUUAGAUGUUAGCCCCUGAGCCAGUGAUAGGUAUAUUGCAAUAAAAUAAAAAAAAUAUAUGUUGAAGGAUCAUGAAUUACAUUUGAAAAACAGUCGGGGAAAUAACUUCUUUAAUAUACUUCCUGAACUUAAUUUUACUGGGCAUGAUUGGCUGUUAUAUAGCUGGUUCCAUUCACUCCCUUCUUUUAAAUAUGUAACAACUUUGAAAUGUCACGUAAAUAUAUCAUAACAUACAUAAUGUAUUAGUUGAGAUUCUAUGAAUUCCAAAUUCCAAAUGCCAUGCAUUUAAUAUUUUAUGCAUUGUUAUUAUACUUACAUUUAAUAAAGUAUUGCCAAUAUUUAAAUAAAAUUUUCAUUUUUAUUCAUUAAUAUAAUUAAAAAUAUUGAAAAAUGUUAGCAUAAAAUCAAAUGAUCAUAGACUUAAAAAUAUUUUUGUAGUGACAUAUACUAAUGUGUGUGUAGUAAAUUUAUGAACAUUUGGUCCUAAUUUGUUGGUUUAAAAGUAAAACUUCAAGACCAUACAAUUUCUUCACGUAAUCUCAAAAUUUCAUGCAAUAUAAGCAUGAUUAUGUUGGCUUAGUGAUGGUAUUUCCUGUGCCUUUCAAAAGCUAAUUCUAAAAGAUAUUAUAGUUACAUGAAAUAAUUAUGCCGAUCAGAUUUACUAUAAUUAGCCUUACUUUUACUGUGCUAUAAAUUAUAAAAUAUUUUGGAAUCUUUUUUCUUUUGAGUGCGUCUUGCUACUAGACCAUUAGUCA